GCCAGUGUGGUGUAGUGGUUUGAGUGUUGGACUAGGACUCUGAUGACCAGAGUUCAAUGCCCUGGCAUUGCUU